GCACAAGCGGUGGAGCAUGUGGUUUAAUUCGAUGCAACGCGAAGAACCUUACCAAGUCUUGACAUCCUGCGAAUUUUCUAGAGAUAGAUUAGUGCCUUCGGGAGCGCAGUGACAGGUGCUGCAUGGCUGUCGUCAGCUCGUGUUGUGAAAUGUUGGGUUAAGUCCCGUAACGAGCGCAACCCUUGUCCUUAGUUGCUAGCAGGUUAAGCUGAGAACUCUAAGGAGACUGCCGGUGACAAACCGGAGGAAGGUGGGGACGACGUCAAGUCAUCAUGGCCCUUACGACUUGGGCUACACACGUGCUACAAUGGCCAGUACAAAGGGUUGCCAAGCCGCGAGGUGGAGCUAAUCUCAUAAAACUGGUCGUAGUCCGGAUUGGAGUCUGCAACUCGACUCCAUGAAGUCGGAAUCGCUAGUAAUCGUGAAUCAGAAUGUCACGGUGAAUACGUUCCCGGGCCUUGUACACACCGCCCGUCACACCAUGGGAGUGGGUUGCUCCAGAAGUGGCUAGUCUAACCUUCGGGGGGACGGUCACCACGGAGUGAUUCAUGACUGGGGUG
rnacentral:rRNA from 1 species